CUUUACUUCUCCCUCCCCAAAGUGCUAGUUGUUGUCAUCCUUGAUGGCUGUCCUGGGGCUGCUGCACGGGACCCCCAGGAAACUGAAAGAAGUAUGCCAAGAGCUGCUAUUCUUCCUGCAAGGAGCAAAUCUUUGCCUUAAAUUAAAUCUUAAACAGAAGCCCAACAUAAAUAAACCAGGUCUCCUACAAGUUCACCGUGUAGGUAAGAGCCGGCAUUGCUCUGGUUAAAUAGGGGACCCAGAGUACCUGCGCCUUCCCACCUGCAGCAGCCCCUGCAGCCCCCGAAGCACCCCCAUGGACCUAGGGUUCCACAAAAUAUGGUGCAAAAACCAACCAGCCAGCUUCUGUGUCCCUCGAGAACAUCCCUUCCACCCUGUCCUGCUUGCAGUCUUUCUCAGGAACUUUGAGAGAAAUAAAUGGAAGCAAGAACAGAAAUCUUCAUUCAUCAGACCCGACUGGACCAGCUCCCGCCAGCAUUCUGAGGAGCAUGUGGGAGAGUGGGGACAGCACGGGACCAGGAGCCAAGAUGUCAGCGUCUCAGGCUUGCUCCACCACUAGCGAGCAGGUGAUCUUGGAUGAGCCAGAGCCACCUGAGAGGACACCUCUCCUGUACCCCCUUCAGAGUGCCUUUGAGGGCCAAAUAAAGUAGCCUUGCACAUUGCAUACCC